rnacentral:rRNA from 1 species
GGUUAAGCGACUAAGCGUACACGGUGGAUGCCCUGGCAGUCAGAGGCGAUGAAGGACGUGCUAAUCUGCGAAAAGCGUCGGUAAGGUGAUAUGAACCGUUAUAGCCGGCGAUGUCCGAAUGGGGAAACCCAGUGCAAUUCGUUGCACUAUCGUUUGAUGAAUACAUAGUCAAACGAGGCGAACCGGGGGAACUGAAACAUCUAAGUACCCCGAGGAAAAGAAAUCAACCGAGAUUCCCCCAGUAGCGGCGAGCGAACGGGGAGCAGCCCGGAGUCUGAAUCAGCUUGUGUGUUAGUGGAAGCGUCUGGAAAGUCGCAGGGUACAGGGUGAUACUCCCGUACACUAAAACGCACAGGUUGUGAACUCGAAGAGUAGGGCGGGACACGUGGUAUCCUGUCUGAAUAUGGGGGGACCAUCCUCCAAGGCUAAAUACUCCUGACUGACCGAUAGUGAACCAGUACCGUGAGGGAAAGGCGAAAAGAACCCCGGCGAGGGGAGUGAAAAAGAACCUGAAACCGUGUACGUACAAGCAGUAGGAGCCCACUAGUUGGGUGACUGCGUACCUUUUGUAUAAUGGGUCAGCGACUUAUAUUCUGUAGCAAGGUUAACCGUAUAGGGGAGCCGCAGGGAAACCGAGUCUUAACUGGGCGUUAAGUUGCAGGGUAUAGACCCGAAACCCGGUGAUCUAGCCAUGGGCAGGUUGAAGGUUGGGUAACACUAACUGGAGGACCGAACCGACUAAUGUUGAAAAAUUAGCGGAUGACUUGUGGCUGGGGGUGAAAGGCCAAUCAAACCGGGAGAUAGCUGGUUCUCCCCGAAAGCUAUUUAGGUAGCGCCUCGUGAAUUCAUCUUCGGGGGUAGAGCACUGUUUCGGCUAGGGGGUCAUCCCGACUUACCAACCCGAUGCAAACUACGAAUACCGAAGAAUGUUAUCACGGGAGACACACGGCGGGUGCUAACGUCCGUCGUGAAGAGGGAAACAACCCAGACCGCCAGCUAAGGUCCCAAAGUCAUGGUUAAGUGGGAAACGAUGUGGGAAGGCCCAGACAGCCAGGAUGUUGGCUUAGAAGCAGCCAUCAUUUAAAGAAAGCGUAAUAGCUCACUGGUCGAGUCGGCCUGCGCGGAAGAUGUAACGGGGCUAAACCAUGCACCGAAGCUGCGGCAGCGACACUAUGUGUUGUUGGGUAGGGGAGCGUUCUGUAAGCCGUUGAAGGUGGCCUGUGAGGGUUGCUGGAGGUAUCAGAAGUGCGAAUGCUGACAUAAGUAACGAUAAUGCGGGUGAAAAACCCGCACGCCGGAAGACCAAGGGUUCCUGUCCAACGUUAAUCGGGGCAGGGUGAGUCGACCCCUAAGGCGAGGCCGAAAGGCGUAGUCGAUGGGAAACAGGUUAAUAUUCCUGUACUCGGUGUUACUGCGAAGGGGGGACGGAGAAGGCUAUGUUGGCCGGGCGACGGUUGUCCCGGUUUAAGCAUGUAGGCGGAUGUUCCAGGUAAAUCCGGAACGUUACUAACGCUGAGGUGUGAUGACGAGGCACUACGGUGCUGAAGUGACAAAUGCCCUGCUUCCAGGAAAAGCCUCUAAGCAUCAGGUAACAUCAAAUCGUACCCCAAACCGACACAGGUGGUCAGGUAGAGAAUACCAAGGCGCUUGAGAGAACUCGGGUGAAGGAACUAGGCAAAAUGGUGCCGUAACUUCGGGAGAAGGCACGCUGAUGGUAGGUGAAGCGACUUGCUCGUGGAGCUGAAAUCAGUCGAAGAUACCAGCUGGCUGCAACUGUUUAUUAAAAACACAGCACUGUGCAAACACGAAAGUGGACGUAUACGGUGUGACGCCUGCCCGGUGCCGGAAGGUUAAUUGAUGGGGUUAUCCGUAAGGAGAAGCUCUUGAUCGAAGCCCCGGUAAACGGCGGCCGUAACUAUAACGGUCCUAAGGUAGCGAAAUUCCUUGUCGGGUAAGUUCCGACCUGCACGAAUGGCGUAAUGAUGGCCAGGCUGUCUCCACCCGAGACUCAGUGAAAUUGAACUCGCUGUGAAGAUGCAGUGUACCCGCGGCAAGACGGAAAGACCCCGUGAACCUUUACUAUAGCUUGACACUGAACACUGGUCCUUGAUGUGUAGGAUAGGUGGGAGGCUUUGAAGUGUGGACGCCAGUCUGCAUGGAGCCAUCCUUGAAAUACCACCCUUUAAUGGCUGGUGUUCUAACGUGGGCCCCUAAUCGGGGUUGCGGACAGUGUCUGGUGGGUAGUUUGACUGGGGCGGUCUCCUCCUAAAGAGUAACGGAGGAGCACGAAGGUCAGCUAAUCCUGGUCGGACAUCAGGAGGUUAGUGCAAUGGCAUAAGCUGGCUUGACUGCGAGCGUGACGGCGCGAGCAGGUGCGAAAGCAGGUCAUAGUGAUCCGGUGGUUCUGAAUGGAAGGGCCAUCGCUCAACGGAUAAAAGGUACUCCGGGGAUAACAGGCUGAUACCGCCCAAGAGUUCAUAUCGACGGCGGUGUUUGGCACCUCGAUGUCGGCUCAUCACAUCCUGGGGCUGAAGUAGGUCCCAAGGGUAUGGCUGUUCGCCAUUUAAAGUGGUACGCGAGCUGGGUUUAGAACGUCGUGAGACAGUUCGGUCCCUAUCUGCCGUGGGCGCUGGAGAAUUGAGGGGGGCUGCUCCUAGUACGAGAGGACCGGAGUGGACGCAUCACUGGUGUUCGGGUUGUCAUGCCAAUGGCAUUGCCCGGUAGCUAAAUGCGGAAGAGAUAAGUGCUGAAAGCAUCUAAGCACGAAACUUGCCCCGAGAUGAGUUCUCCCUGACCCUUUAAGGGUCCUGAAGGAACGUUGAAGACGACGACGUUGAUAGGCCGGGUGUGUAAGCGCAGCGAUGCGUUGAGCUAACCGGUACUAAUGAACCGUGAGGCUUAACCUU